rnacentral:snRNA from 1 species
AUCGCUUCUCGGCCUUUUGGCUAAGAUCAAGUGUAGUAUCUGUUCUUAUCAGUUUAAUAUCUGAUACGUCCCCUACCCGGGGACCAUAUAUUAAAUAGACUUUUGGAACAGGGAGAUGGAAUAGGGGCUUGCUCCGUCCACUCCACGCAUCGACCUGGUAUUGCAGUAUCUCCAGGAACGGUGCACUCCCU